UUCCGGUUGAUCCCGCCGGAGGCCAUUGCUAUCGGAGUCCGAUUUAGCCAUGCUAGUCGAGCGAGGUUAGCCCUCGCGGCGAACAGCUCAGUAACACGUGGCCAAGCUACCCUGCAGAGGGGGACAGCGUCGGGAAACUGACGGGAAUCCCCCAUACCGGUCUCACGCUGGAAUGCCGAGACCGACAAACGCUCCGGCGCUGCAGGAUGCGGCUGCGGCCGAUUAGGUAGUCGGUGGGGUAACGGCCCACCGAGCCGAUAAUUGGUACGGGGUGUGAGAGCACGAGCCCGGAGACGGAAUCUGAGACAAGAUUCCGGGCCCUACGGGGCGCAGCAGGCGCGAAACCUUUACACUGCACGAACGUGCGAUAAGGGGACUCCGAGUGCGAGGGCAUACAGUCCUCGCUAUUGUGUACCGUAGGGUGGUACACGACCAAGAGCUGGGCAAGACCGGUGCCAGCCGCCGCGGUAAUACCGGCAGCUCGAGUGAUGGCCGAUUUUAUUGGGCCUAAAGCGUCCGUAGCUGGCCCUGCAAGUCCGUCGGGAAAUCCACUCGCCUAACGAGUGGGCGUCCGGCGGAAACUACAGGGCUUGGGACCGGAAGACUUGAGGGGUACGUCUGGGGUAGGAGUGAAAUCCUGUAAUCCUGGACGGACCGCCGAUAGCGAAAGCACCUCAAGACGACGGAUCCGACAGUGAGGGACGAAAGCUAGGGUCUCGAACCGGAUUAGAUACCCGGGUAGUCCUAGCUGUAAACGAUGUUCGCUAGAUGUGGCACAGGCUACGUGCCUGUGCUGUGUCGUAUGGAAGCCGAAUAGCGAACCGUCUGGGAAGUACGUCCGUCAGGAUGAAACUUAAAGGAAUU
rnacentral:rRNA from 1 species